CAAAAAGUAGUUUAAUAAAAAUAGUAAUUUUGGGUAUUAUUGAUGAAUUUUAUUUCUUUUUGA
rnacentral:tRNA from 1 species